GGUAUGUUGGAUCCCUGCUCUGCAGCGUCAUCCUUGCAAUUCACUGCCCCUCAUUACUUGGCUCAAGAGCGUCAGUUGCCUUGGCCUUGGAACGGUUUCCUGCGUUUCAAACCGAUCAUGACGGCAUUCUUUAGUACCAAUCAUCCCUAGUUCACCUUGCAUUGGCCCAAAAUGGGCGGGUCCGGGGUGAACAUUAAAGCCCUCGCCGUUUCCCAAUCCAUGGAUGCAUUUGCGUAUCGUGGCAUCGGCGCACGCCGAGUUGCUCAAGCUUUCAGAAACGGAAUACGUUGCGGGUAGGGGGGACUUCACCUCCCAUUUAUCCAAGAAAUGAGCGUUCGUCGCUAACCAGCGAACGACUGCCGUGCCCGCCUCGCCUGGCUGGUCCUAGUCUUUUAGGACCGUCUGUCACGUGCGGUGCCGGCGUUGAUGAGGAAUGCUACCUGGUUGAUCCUGCA
rnacentral:misc_RNA from 1 species